AUUGAACGCUGGCGGCAGGCCUAACACAUGCAAGUCGAGCGAGCGUCGGACGGGUGAGUAAUGUAUGGGGACUGCCCGAUAGAGGGGGAUAACUACUGGAAACGGUAGCUAAUACCGCAUACUAUCGGAUAACCCAUAUGGGUGUAGCUAGUAGGUGAGGGAAUGGCUCACCUAGGCGACGAUCCCUAGCUGGUUUGUGAGGACGACCAGCCACAACGGGACUGAGACACGGUCCAGACUCCUACGGAGGCAGCAGUGGGGAAUUUUGGACAAUGGGGGAAACCCUGAUCCAGCCAUCCCGCGUGUAUGAUGAAGGCCGUCGGGUUGUAAAGUACUUUUGGCAGAGAAGCGGUAUCUGCAGAAUAAGCACCGGCUAACUACGUGCCAGCAGCCGCGGUAAUUC
rnacentral:rRNA from 1 species